rnacentral:lncRNA from 1 species
UGUUCGUGGCGCCCCGAAAGUAAUGACGCUCACUUCCCCACCGGUGGAUACAUUCGAGGAGAGGAUAGGGGGAGGGGGUCAAAAUCUCUUAUUUGGAGAUAAUUUUAGCUGCCCGUUAGACCUCACUUGCUCCGAGCCGUUCUCUCUAAAUUUACCAAGUUAAGUCAUCUUGAUUUCGCCCAUUUGCCAUCGAGAGAAGGGGGAAAAAUACCACUUAGUGAUCAACGAGAAAUCGAGAGCCCGGAAGCAGAGUUUUGCCCACUUGCCCGCUUCCCGAGUCCUUGCGUGGUGGACCUCCGCUCCAAGCCCCUCAUCCCUUCCUCCCUGCCACUUCAGCCGCUCCUCACAUCAUCUCCUGCCAGGACCUUUUGACUCACGCGCGACUGGGAAGGGCAGCGAGUAUCCCGUUUCCUCCCUGCCCUGUCGUUCGAGGUGUCUAAUAAGCAAGCCGUUCCGCGUUUCGGUUAGGGCCCAGGUUCAAAAAAUCCAAAUACCUUGAAAUUGCUUGAGAAUUUGGUUAAACAUCGGAACUGCACCCACCAGUUCAGGACCAACCGGCCGCAGAGAGUAGCUGGGGGGUUGGAUGGGGAGGUGGGAAGGGAGGGGGGAGUCUGGGGGCUGCGUACUAGAUAGAUUGUACCUGCCUCAUCAUUAUCCUGGCUGAUGGGGGUUGCCACAUCGAAAACCGCCAGAAGCGCCCACCGAGGCCCAGGGGCGUCACCUCCUGCGGUCCCUCGCAAGGGUAGGGUAGUCCUUCAGUGGCUCCCCUCGUGCCAAAAUAUCGACGUCUUCCUCAGGGCCAGAAGAGGCUGCCGAGUCGUUCCCUCCACCCAGCCACACAGCACCAUGAAGAAAUACCAUUGGUAUGGAUAGCAAAAGCAAAGAUCAGGACUGGAAAGUAAGCUGGCUGCGAGCUUGUGCCCUGUACAUAGGCCUGGUUAAGGAAGCAUCCAGGAUGAGAUCUUUUAGGAUUCACUAGGUAGGUGCUCCUCUCCAAGUUGACUUCGUGGCCAUGACUUUGGCUGCCCAUCUGUCGACUGUAUUUUUAGGUUGCUGAACUUUCUUCUUCUCCCUGCUGCAUCUGAGAGUAAGGCCCUGACUCCUGGAAGUGAUUUCUGAGAGCAGGAAUCAGAUCUUGUUUUUGAAAACCCCCUUUAAAACUCUCUCCUAAAGCAAAUUUCCAGAGCGUGCCUUCUGGUUACCCUUAUCUUUUGCAAUAGCACCACUCUGUGGUUGGAACACUGAACAGAAACAAAACGGCAACGUGGGAUUGAAUUUUGCCUUUAUCUUGUGAAAACAGCACUUAUCUCCCUAUGUUUGAGCUCAGUGGACUGAAUGCUGGUGGUGGGGGCUCAGCGUGUGGUGAGGGAGGGGGUCUUGUGCAGUGGCAGUAUGUGGUUAAUUCAUUGUGACAUGUUGACCCAGGAAAUGAGAGAAGUGGACCGAAUGGCCUCCAAGGACCCUUUCCGUGUCAAAGACAAGCUUGUUUUUUUUCCCCAUGAUCGUGUAGCUAGCCUUGAAUGUCUGUCCUCUUCCACUGCUUUUCUUUUUCUCUCUUUUGAGGUUACUAAAAUAAACACCACACUUCUCACUGAUCCUGAAGUAUUUGCAAGUUGCAUCUUCUGCUGCUGGAGGGCGCUGUGGGGAGGUCUCGCCCUACCCCCUCCAUCCCCACCCCCAUCCACCCAGACAGCUGCUAGAGCUGAUGGAGUCUGGAAGUCUUCGUUUUUCAAACAAUUAAAGUGAAUGCAAAAGGUGUUUGCACAGGGACUGGGAGCUUAAGGGUCAGGAAAGGCGGCUUCAUGCUACCUUUGUGCCUCCGCACUUGAAAGAUUCCUGGCUGCCCACCCGUUUCUAUAUACUGGCAACAGCAUUAUUCACCAAGAGCUACAGGCUGUCAAGCCAUAUAGCAAUUCCUCUCAGAUGACCUGGAGUCACCUGUGAGACAUUCUUCUUUUCUUUCAAUUCGCAUGCACUUGUCCACAGAAACUGAGUGGCUUGUUUAUGUUUAUUUAACAAGACCAGGUCUUCCCCCAAAUUUCUGUCAUUUUAAGAAAGCACAGCUUUGCUCUAAGGACUAGCAUUGAUCUCUCUACACAGAAUACAGACAUCAGAGAUAAACUUCUAUCAGCCCCUAUGUCCCCCACUCUGCAUUUAAUAACUGAGGAAACUCAGAAUAACAAAAAACAAAAACAAAAACAUAAUGACAGACCACGACCUAGAAUUUACUGCCAGAGUAGAUUUUGGUGCCUGAGAAAAGCAGGUUCCCCUCUACCUUCUCCACUCAGUAGCCAUGUGCUUUUGUACAGGUUUCUUAACUUCUUAGAACCCAUCUGCAAUUGGUGAAGACAACACCAAUCUCAUAGAAGUAAUAUGAGGACCAAAGGAACUAAUUAAUUUAAAACAUUCAACACAGUGCCUGGCACAAUGUGAAUGCCAGUCCCGAUCUGCUAGUCCUUACACAGGAAACACUGUCACACCACUGGGGGAAUGAGCUAUCUUUAGAAAGAAGCUUGGCUCUGGAAUGGCCUGUGUAUUAUUAUUUGUAUGCCACUACACAUUUCAUUAAUGUAAUUUUAUGGAUGUAUAUUUUCCCCUUUGGACAAAUACAGAAAUAAAUCAGCAGAAUGAAGUAGUGGACAUAUUUAGAAUUUAUAUAGCUUCCCAACGUGGACCUCAAUGUGCAUGAAAGACAGAAUUGAAGGAUUUCAAAAUCUCGUCUUAUUCAUUCUCUGCCUUUCACCCAGAACCACCUCAUCAUUUAAAAGGAAAUUCCACCAUAUCCUUCAACUCUUAACAGAUUGCCUGGUAUAUUAUUGGUUUGUUGUUAUUGCUAAUUAUGUUCUAGGGCUUACAUUGAACAAUAUAAUGAAUUGCAUUGAA